rnacentral:rRNA from 1 species
GACGAACGCUGGCGGCGUGCCUAAUACAUGCAAGUAGAACGCUGAAGAGAGGAGCUUACUCUUCUUGGAUGAGUUGCGAACGGGUGAGUAACGCGUAGGUAACCUGCCUUGUAGCGGGGGAUAACUAUUGGAAACGAUAGCUAAUACCGCAUAACAAUGGAUGACACAUGUCAUUUAUUUUGAAAGGGGCAAUUGUUCCACUACAAGAUGGACCUGCGUUGUAUUAGCUAGUAGGUGAGGUAAUGGCUCACCUAGGCGACGAUACAUAGCCGACCUGAGAGGGUGGUCGGCCAAACUGGGACUGAGACACGGCCCAGACUCCCACGGGGAGCAGCAGUAGGGAAUCUUCGGCAAUGGGGGCAACCCUGACCGAGCAAAGCCGCGUGAGUGAAGAAGGUUUUCGGAUCGUAAAGCUCUGUUGUAAGUCAAGAACGGGUGUGAGAGUGGAAAGUUCACACUGUGACGGUAGCUUACCAGAAAGGGACGGCUAACUACGUG